rnacentral:rRNA from 1 species
AGCGGAGGAAAAGAAACUAACAAGGAUUCCUCCAUASUAACKGCGAGUGAAACGGGAAAAGCCCAACUUGAAAAUCUCCCUUUGGAGAAUUGUAGUCUAUAGAAGCGUCCUCUGUGGCGGCCCGAGCCCAAGUCCGCUGGAAAGCGGCGUCAGAGAGGGUGAGAACCCCGUCGGCUUUCGGCUUAGCUACUCCACGAGGUGCUUUCCACGAGUCGGGUUGUUUGGGAAUGCAGCCCAAAAUUGGAGGUAAAUCCCUUCUAAGGCUAAAUACUGGCGAGAGACCGAUAGCGAACAAGUACCGUGAGGGAAAGAUGAAAAGAACUUUGAAAAGAGAGUUAAAAAGUGCUUGAAAUUGUUGAGAGGGAAGCGAUUGGAGGGUGUGAGUGCGUCUAGGCUUAUGCAUCUCUAACGAGCUGCUGUAUGUGCUAGAUGCUGGUCAGCAUGGGUUAGCCGGGCGGGAUAACAGCAUGGGUUGAUACCGUGUCUAUGCCGUCUGGUUGAUCAAGGUGUGAUUGGCGCUUAGUCCUUCGGGAACUGCGUCAACAAGAUGCUGGCAGAAGCCCUUCAAUCGGCCCGUCUUGAAACACGGACCAAGGAGUCUAACAUGUAUGCGAGUUGGUGGGUGGAAAACCCAUGAAGCGCAAGUAACCUGACUGGUGGGAUGGCCUGUGCCUGCACCAUCGACCGACCAUGAUCUUCUGUGAAAGGUUUGAGUGCGAGCAUACCUGUUGGGACCCGAAAGAUGGUGAACUAUGCCUGAGCAGGGUGAAGCCAGAGGAAACUCUGGUGGAGGCUCGUAGAUGUGCUGACGUGCAAAUCGCUUUUCGGACKUGGGUAGUAGGGGCGAAAGACUAAUCGAACCUUCUAGUA